UUCUACAUGUCAUCGAAAAAUAGCAAGAAUCAUUAAUUGAUGAAUUUUCUAGGACCAAAAUCAGCUCAACACAAGGCCACUCGCCAGCUCCUCUCCUACCUGAAGGUCCAGAGACCACGCUACCUCAGCGGCAUGAUCCUGACUGUAGACCUGGCUCUGCCCCUGGAGCUGAUCGAUUUGAGCGUCAAUUAUCUACUUAUUAUUGUCCAGAUUUACAUCGCUUUUAAAUAAAUUUAAAGAAUAGGAAUAAAUUUGAGAAGUAUCUAGAUAAACUUAUUUACACAUAUAAUCACGUCUAUAUCCCUUGCGGGGUAGACAGAGCCAACGGUCUUGAAAAGACUGAUAGGCCACGUACAGCUGUUUGCCUUAGUUUGGUUGCUAGCCCAUCGCC